rnacentral:lncRNA from 1 species
AAUCACACGGCCACAGGGUAAUGGGCACAGCAGCACCACAGGGUAAUGGGCACAGAAGCAAUCACACGGCUACAGGAUAAUGGGCACAGAGCAAUCACACAGCCACAGGAUAAUGGGCACAGAGCAAUCACACAGCCACAGGAUAAUGGGCACAGCAGCAAUCACACAGCCACAAGGUAAUGGGCACAGCAGCAAUCACACGGCUACAGGGUAAUGGGCACAGAGCGAUCACACGGCCACAGGAUAAUGGGCACAGAGCAAUCACACAGCCACAGGGUAAUGGGCACAGCAGCAAUCACGCAGCCACAGGGUAACGGGCACAGCAGCAGUCACACAGCCACAGGGUAAUGGGCACAGAGCAAUCACAUAGCCACAGAGCAAUGGGCACAGAAGGAAUCAGACAAGCCCUGCCUUCACUCUUUAUAAACUUGCCUUGGGAACAGGCUUCAAACAUUCUUCUAGCUUUCAGGGAAACGGUCCACCCCACAGCUCCUUCCAGUCAAAAACAAGGUACUCAUGGCCCUAGCUCUGUGGGAGAAACCAGGGAGUAGAUACAGAAAAUACUGUGCUAGAUUAAGCCUUCCUUCAGGGAACUAACGAUUGACACAGACUUACCAUGGAAAACAUCUUGGGAUGUUUAAUCAGACAUGGGUUUAAAUCCUAGUUCAGCCAUUUAAAAAUGAUGUGAUUCUGGCCAGGUUCAGUGGCUAGCACUUGUAAUCCCAGCUACUUGGGGGGCUGAGGCAGGUGGAUCCCUGAGGCCAGGAGUUCAAGACUAGCUGGGGUAACACAGUGAGACUCCCCCUCCAUCUCCGAAAAAAAAAAAGGGAUGUGAUCUUGGUCAGAUUGCUUCUCCAAGCCUUCCUUCUGCAUAUGUGGGGAUAAUACAGACUUCAUGUUAUGCCUUUGGGGAUCAUGUGAUAUAUACCAGUCAAGCCCUUGCUAGUGGGUUGGCACUGCUAUCUCCUGA